AUCAGUUAUGUGUCACUCUUUCAAAGUGACUUUAGCCCGUGACUGUCCAGUAUCUUCUUAAUGACCCAUCACCACCACUUGUCGGCCAUACAAAAAAGAAAGGGAGAAUUAUGGAUACAAUUCAAACCUUAAUUAAACUCGAACAUGGUCGUGAUUCGUUAAUCUAAGACAUGUCGAACACAAUAAAUUCAUACCCAAAAAACAGUUUAUAUAAGAUGGUGGCGCCGAAUAUUGCGACAAAGUAGCUUUACUAUAUAAGUUCUAUAUUAUAUUAUGAUAUAUACUUUAUACAUUUAUAGAUGAAUUGGCCAAUUAAUAUAUUAACCUGACUUGGAGCAAUAUUAUCUGUUUUGGAUUCAUUUUCACCUCGUUGACGACCCAAGUCGUUCACCAUUGCAACAAUAGUUGAAAGCCAUAGAGGAAGGAAAGAAUCUAAAGGAUGUUCCUUGAGCACUUUUUCUGUUAUCAUGGGGCCACUUUCUUCUAUAAAUCCCCACUCCUUCAUUCAACACCACGCCACUACCACUCCCACCAUCUUGUUCUUCUUCGGGCAUUCAAGGGUAGGAGGAAAAGCUGCCGACAAAAGUUAUAUUUUGAGGUACGCAGCUUUAACAAUUUCUUCAUUAGAUUGAAAUUUCAGACACAGGUUAGGAAGCAACAAUUGCCGUACAAUAACUAGC